AUUGAGCGCUGGCGGCAGGCCUAACACAUGCAAGUCGAGCGGAUGAAGGGAGCUUGCUCCUGGAUUCAGCGGCGGACGGGUGAGUAAUGCCUAGGAAUCUGCCUGGUAGUGGGGGAUAACGUCCGGAAACGGGCGCUAAUACCGCAUACGUCCUGAGGGAGAAAGUGGGGGAUCUUCGGACCUCACGCUAUCAGAUGAGCCUAGGUCGGAUUAGCUAGUUGGUGGGGUAAAGGCCUACCAAGGCGACGAUCCGUAACUGGUCUGAGAGGAUGAUCAGUCACACUGGAACUGAGACACGGUCCAGACUCCUACGGGAGGCAGCAGUGGGGAAUAUUGGACAAUGGGCGAAAGCCUGAUCCAGCCAUGCCGCGUGUGUAAAGAAGGUCUUCGGAUUGUAAAGCACUUUAAGUUGGGAGGAAGGGCAGUAAGUUAAUACCUUGCUGUUUUGACGUUACCAACAGAAUAAGCACCGGCUAACUUCGUG
rnacentral:rRNA from 1 species